UCAAAAGCCUUUCCCACCGUGCCUAGGGUUUUGAUCUGAGUUUAAUGUGAGUGGAUUAAUGGUGUUUAAAUACCAAGAAAGGUGGUGCCGGGUUUGCUUUUUAUAACUGCUACACCCAUAUCCUUCAUCCCACGCCCCAAAUAUCCAGUCAUGUCCAGUGGCCGGUGACCCCUGAAGGAUAUUAUCAGCAUGGACAAGGCACUGGCCCUAAAGUUCUGCAGGAUAUUGUCCCCUCUGGUCCAUGUCAUGAUCGCUGACACUCUGGCGAAGACCAAAAGCUGAGAUGGUUCUGAGGUCUCCUACCUGAAGAAGAAGCGUGCAAUGAUGAGCAGGAGGAAGGAGAGAAGGACCAGUCCACCACAGCUGUAGAGCUGCUGCUCCACAGAGAGGGAGUCAAACAUUCUCACUACGGGAGUCUGUGGAUUAUAGGAGCAGCUAGAAUUAGACUUGACCGCUCUAAAGAUUCUUUGGCAAUGUGUAUGUUUUGGACACUCACCAAGUAG